CACGUAGGGUGCGAGCGUUGUCCGGAAUUAUUGGGCGUAAAGGGCGCGUAGGCGGCUUAACAAGUCACUUGUGAAAUCUCCGGGCUUAACUCGGAACGGCCAAGUGAAACUGUCAAGCUAGAGUGCAGAAGGGGCAAUCGGAAUUCUUGGUGUAGCGGUGAAAUGCGUAGAUAUCAAGAGGAACACCUGAGGUGAAGACGGGUUGCUGGGCUGACACUGACGCUGAGGCGCGAAAGCCAGGGGAGCAAACGGG
rnacentral:rRNA from 1 species